CGGAGCCCCUCCGCCCGGCAGCCACCCCGUCUGAGAAGAAACCAACUAUCAGGCCUCCCAGAUAGUAUCAAGGAACUGAAACUUCCCAGAUCACAGCAUCUGUACAAUGAGACACCAGACCCUUCACUGGUCAUGAUUACCUGACCACCUGCCACCUGCUUCCUGCUGAACAACUCUUCUUUCUUAUCCUCCCCUAAUUCCUGUUUUCCUGUAUGUAGCUACAUUUCUUUUCUGCUGUAUAAACUCCUAAUUUUAGUUGGUCACGGAGAUGGAUUUGAAGCUGAUCUCCCACCUCCAUGGCUGCAGUACCUGAUUAAAGCUUUCUUUCCUGGCAGUA
rnacentral:lncRNA from 1 species